rnacentral:rRNA from 1 species
UGGGCAAUCUGCCCUUCACUCUGGGACAAGCCCUGGAAACGGGGUCUAAUACCGGAUACGACACGGGGAGGCAUCUCCUCCGUGUGGAAAGCUCCGGCGGUGAAGGAUGAGCCCGCGGCCUAUCAGCUUGUUGGUGGGGUGAUGGCCUACCAAGGCGACGACGGGUAGCCGGCCUGAGAGGGCGACCGGCCACACUGGGACUGAGACACGGCCCAGACUCCUACGGGAGGCAGCAGUGGGGAAUAUUGCACAAUGGGCGAAAGCCUGAUGCAGCGACGCCGCGUGAGGGAUGACGGCCUUCGGGUUGUAAACCUCUUUCAGCAGGGAAGAAGCGAGAGUGACGGUACCUGCAGAAGAAGCGCCGGCUAACUACGUGCCAGCAGCCGCGGUAAUACGUAGGGCGCAAGCGUUGUCCGGAAUUAUUGGGCGU